CCCUCACUUUCGAUCAGUUGUUGCUCCACGAGAUAAACGUUGGACGCAAGACAUGGGUUCCUGUGUUGCAUACCUAUYGCGACGGAAAUGUGUGCCUUCGAUCGUCCCUUCCAUCACGGCGUCCUCACGGAUGCUCGGUUGGACCGGAUAGUGGGGCUCGUGUUCCACGGACGUCGUCUCAUUCGACCGUUCGGAUGGACCACGGGUGCCCACUCGUUCUCUCGGAUGCGGAAMUCUGUUAAAUGGGCGUGGGGUCAUUGGCCCUUGGUCCCUAAUCGUUAAGCGUUUAUCGCUUCRCCGGAAUGACGAUCUCGCCUUGUCCUUGACCGCGCGAAGCCCUCGGGCAUCGCGACGGAUCAUGCUCGGCGGACGUCGUGAAGGAAUGC
rnacentral:misc_RNA from 1 species